rnacentral:misc_RNA from 1 species
AUUGAUUGGAACAUUGGAAAGCUUCAUGUGAGGAUAGUAAUGUUGUGGAGUAUAAAAUAAACCAGUUCUGAAUGUUUGAUGACAUGAGAAAAAUAGCAACAAAGAAACUAUGAAGACAUCAGAUCAUCGCAUAGAUUAUAGAUUGGCUGAGUCAUAGAGAACAGUGUGGUAGUCUGCCUUUAGUUUCUGGCAGUACCUCAACUGAGACAUUAGCCUAUCAAACGCUAAAGAUACAGUUUCAGUAUUGACUAUACCAGAAAGGAAUCAUGACGCUUGUACUGCCGAUGACCCAGUACCAUUACCACUGCGACUACCCCACCAGUCUUGCUGUGGAGGAUACAUCAAGUGGCGAGUACACUUGGGAAGCUGGACGCAUCACUGCUAGACCUCUCACCCCCCUUGAACCAAUCAGUGAAAACAUUGAAAUCAAAUCAGGUUCAGAAAAUCUGAUUGCAUCAAAGGACUCUGACUUAACCCCAACAAAACCAAUGACGAUUUCAAAAUGCCAGACGGGCAUUAAGCGCAAGUUGGAAUAUCAAGAUAUCGGGGAUUGGCCCAAACCAAAGAGGCCAUCUAUACUGAAUAACACUCCCAAGCAACGACGAGAGGAGAAACGUAAAAUCUUAAAGAUGUCUGUGCAUAAAUUACGAAAUAUAGAUGACCCUGAGACCGUGCUGCAUAAGGCAGUUCUGAUUAAUAACACAAUGAAGCGCAUGCAACGUGAAAUCCGUGAAGAGAAACAAAACAAUGUAUCACCAAGGAAACGAUUCCAAUACGAAGAAAACACAUCCCCAGUCCCAGAAUAUCUAUCCCAGCCAAGUUGUAUGUACCAAGAGAAACCGAACGAAACUGAAAAGUCUGUGGAAAAAAUGACUGAUGUUCGAGAUGUCAGUGAGAGAUUAGUUGAUUCUGUACAGUGUAGUGACAUUAAUCCAGAACGAUCUGACGCUGAAUACUGUCCUUAUAGCUGCCAAGAUAUAAGUGGUAACCAUAGCACAGAAACAUUCUCCAUCAACAUCAUACACACAGACAUCAAUGAUGAAAAUACGCUAGACCAACAAGCAAUCAAAAGGACAGACACAGUCACAGAGAAUAAAGUAUUUGGUGAAAUGGACACAGUUUUCAACAGUAUUUUAUGUUCCUUGGAGUCAUAGACCUAAGCUGCAAAAAGACCAGAAAAUGAAAUCAAUCGUUUAUUGGGAGAUUUGUCAUAUUAUAUUUAUUCAGUUACGGUCUCUAGUUUUUCAACAUUAAUAUUGUUUUCAUAUGCAAUAAUCAAAUGAACAGGAAGAGUGUUAUACAGCAUACAUAGGCCAAUGGCAACAUGUGUUAGAUGGAAUGUUAGCCAAACAUAUUUCCUUUAACAAGCUUACUUACACAACUGAAAUGCCUAAAACCAAAAGUGAAGAAUCAAUUUAUUAUUCCCCACAGGGCAUCUUAUUAUUCAGUGUCACAUUGGUAUUAAAUAAGCGUGAUUGUAAAAUCAAAUUAAUAUAUGCAACCAAAUAUUUCCCCAAAGAACAUAUUAAGCAUUUUACAUGCUUUUGUAAAAUAUUUAAAAAGUAGUUUAUUUCUGGCAAAAAUUGUUUGAUGUCCAUCAUUGAAAAUGUGUUUUCAUCAUGUUAGAGUGGUGUUCAUCAUUUGAUAGUAGUAUUCAAUACUAUUCAUAUAUGAGAGUUGAGUUCAUAUCAUAUGAGAGUGUGAAAGUGGCAUCAAUCCACCAGUGUUCAUAAUACCAGUGUUAAUAUAACUGUAAUUGUAUUAAUUGUGCAAAUCAUAUAUAUUUAUUUUUACAGAGUAUUUUGCUACAUUCAGAAAAUCCUGUUAUUAUUAAACUUGUAUUGACUCUGCAAGUGUGAACUUUGUGAUUAAAGGUAGUGCAAUCCAACUCAUACAGACACACAAAUAUUACUCAUUUUCAUAUUUUCCACCUAAUAAUUCUUUCAUUUUCAUGUUUCACAUUAUAUUGCAUUCUCAGUUGUGCCGCGUGGCAUUACUAUGAAACAUGAGAGAAAUGACAUGAUGCGUCUAGGACAGGCCUAGCUUAAUGUCAUCAAGUCUAGAUUAAUGUCACUUAGUGAAACCUGAUAUAAAUAGUUAGGAAAUUAAUUUACAAAUGUCUGACAUAUCAUACAAUAUGCAUUGAAAUGUAUAAAAUUCAGCAGAAUCAUUAUAAUAUAUUUAUGUAAAAAUAAUAA